CGUGGCGACACGCCCCCCUGAGGGGCUGCUCUUAGACCUCACUCAUGUGGAUGACAGCUGGACUUCGGUGUGACAGAGACGGUAAAGAAUGAAGAGGAAGGAAACCACCAGCAGCUUUUCCCAGCCUAAAAGAAGAGAGGAGGAAGAGCAUCCCAGAGAGGAGAUGGAGGAGGAAGAGUUCAGAGAAAGAAAUGAAGGCAUGCAGAGCUCAGACAGCGAAAGGACAGAUUCUGACAGAUGUGUCAGGCCAGUCACCUGAUAAAAGACAUCUUUAAUACAUCAAAUGACGCUUCUGAGGGAGACUGGACAGCAGUCGAAACAUGUCAGCAAGGUAAAAACCAUCCUUAGUAAUUUGUCAGUAAAAAAAAAUUGAGUUUAGACUUAAAAUUUUCUUUUCUAUAAAGCUUCUAGUUUGGGCUGCACAGGUAAGUAAUUAGUUAUACCUGCUAUAGGCCUAGACUUAUAGAAUGAUGGACUUCUACUCUUCUUUCUUUGUCUUCAUACAAUUACAUGUCAUAAUUGCAUGUCGUCCAGUUUGUCUUCUCUUCCCUGUAGUUUGUGUUUUGUUCUCACUGCAGAAAUCUGUGACUACACGUUUCUACAUGCAGACACAGAUCUCCAAAGUGUUAUUGUUCUCGAAUGCAUUUCUGUUUGCUAUCCUGUUGUCUCUCCCCUUCACCCUCGCCCGACUGGUCCAGGUAGACAGCUGUCCUCCCCAAGCCUGUUUCUGCCAGAGGUUUCUUUCUGAAAAAGAAGAGUUUUAUCUUCCCAUUGCUGCCAAGUGCUGCUCAAAGGGGAUUCAAAAAAAAACCCAAAAACUUUGGAUUUAUUGGGUUGCCUAAAGAUGAUAUGCAAUGAUGCUAUAUAAAUAAAAAGUACUAAAGUAACUAGAAAAGUCCUAAAAACAUGCAAACAUCUCAUAGUUUUGCUGCUGCUUUUAGUGAAAAUAAUACGUUUUGGGCUGUGGACCAGUAUAGCUAUUACUCAGUGGGCUGCACUUUGAUUUGUCUUACUGUAAUUAGCAUUAACUCCAGGGCUGAAACAUGCUU
ensembl:lncRNA